UAAUAAGUGUUUUAUGGCACUUUUUAAAUCCAUAUCCACCUUGUGUGCAAUGUCAGUCGAUCUUCUUCAUGGAGAUCGACCAAACAUCAACCUUUAUCUUUUAACUCUUUGUCUUAAAAAUAUUACGAAUAAACAAUUCAAAAUA
rnacentral:misc_RNA from 1 species